UNUAGAGGUGAUCCAGCCUGUGAAGCUGUGU
rnacentral:piRNA from 1 species